rnacentral:rRNA from 1 species
CCUACGGGCGGCAGCAGUGGGGAAUAUUGCACAAUGGGGGAAACCCUGAUGCAGCGACGCCGCGUGAGCGAUGAAGUAUUUUGGUAUGUAAAGCUCUAUCAGCAGGGAAGCAAAUGACGGUACCUGACUAAGAAGCCCCGGCUAACUCCGUGCCAGCAGCCGCGGUAAUACGUAGGGGGCAAGCGUUAUCCGGAUUUACUGGGUGUAAAGGGAGCGUAGACGGCUGUGCAAGCCAGAUGUGAAAGUCCGGGGCUCAACCCCGGGACUGCAUUUGGAACUGUGUGGCUGGAGUGUCGGAGAGGCAGGCGGAAUUCCUGGUGUAGCGGUGAAAUGCGUAGAUAUUAGGAGGAACACCAGUGGCGAAGGCGGCUUGCUGGACGAUGACUGACGUUGAGGCUCGAAAGCGUGGGGAGCAAAUAGGAUUAGAUACCCGAGUAGUC